UACGUAGGGGGCAAGCGUUGUCCGGAAUCAUUGGGCGUAAAGCGCGUGUAGGCGGUCCGGUAAGUCGGCUGUGAAAGUCCAGGGCUCAACCCUGGGAUGCCGGUCGAUACUGCCGGACUAGAGUUCGGAAGAGGCGAGUGGAAUUCCCGGUGUAGCGGUGAAAUGCGCAGAUAUCGGGAGGAACACCAAUGGCGAAGGCAGCUCGCUGGGACGUUACUGACGGCUGAGACGGCGAAAGCGUGGGGAGCAACAGGAU
rnacentral:rRNA from 1 species